rnacentral:rRNA from 1 species
UACGUAGGGCGCAAGCGUUAUCCGGAAUUAUUGGGCGUAAAACGUGCGCAGGCGGUUUUGUAAGCCAGAUGUGAAAUCCCCGGGCUUAACCUGGGAAUGGCAUUUGGGACUGCAAGGCUCGAGUGCGGCAGAGGAGACUGGAAUUCCUGGUGUAGCAGUGAAAUGCGUAGAUAUCAGGAGGAACACCGAUGGCGAAGGCAGGUCUCUGGGCUGACACUGACGCUCAUGCACGAAAGCGUGGGGAGCAAACAGG